UUUUUAUUCAUUUAUUUUAACCAUACUCAGGUCCCACUGCAAUUCAGUUGAAUAAGAAAGAAGGAGAAGCUGUGAACUGUAGGUCUAAGGACUUCUCAAACUUUUUCACGUACAUGGAGUCACCCUGGGCUCUUAUCAAAAUGUAGAUUCUGAUUCAGUAGGUCUGGGGAGCUGCUGCUGCUGCUGGUUCCAAACUACGCUGGAUUAAAAAGAGGCAAAGAAGCAGAAGAUAAGCACAGGGUUGCCUGGGAUGAAGUUUGCUCAGCCAUUAAAAGGUGGGAAAGUCUCCUGCUGCUGUGUAUAUGAGAGAAAGCCACUGUUAACGUCAUGUGUCAGCUACCCAUCAAUUGAGGCAGAGGAAGCAAUUGGUUCAUCAAUGGGUUGGACCAAGAAAAUUUAGAAAAGCAAG
rnacentral:lncRNA from 1 species